GAUGAACGCUGGCGGCGUGCCUAAUACAUGCAAGUCGAGCGAACGGACGAGAAGCUUGCUCUUCUGAUGUUAGCGGCGGACGGGUGAGUCACACGUGGAUAACCUACCUAUAAGACUGGGAUAACUUCGGGAAACCGGAGCUAAUCCCGGAUAAUCUUUUGAACCGCAUGGUUCAAAAGUGAAAUACGGUCUUGCUGUCACUUAUAGAUGGAUCCGCGCUGCAUUAGCUAGUUGGUAAGGUAACGGCUUACCACGGCAACGUUGCAUAGCCGACCUGAGAGGGGGAUCGGCCACACGGGAACUGAGAACCGGCCAAGACUCCUACGGGAGGCAGCAGUAGGGAAUCUUCCGCAAUGGGCGAAAGCCUGACGGAGCAACGCGGCGUGAGUGAUGAAGGUCUUCGGAUCGUAAAACUCUGUGAUUAGGGAAGAACAAAUGUGUAAGUAACUGUGCACAUCUUGACGGUACCUAAUCAGAAAGCCACGGCUAACUACGUG
rnacentral:rRNA from 1 species